AAAGGGUAGCGAUGCCGCGAGGUGAAGCCAAUACCCAAAAAGCCGUCCACAGUUCGGAUUGGAGUCUGCAACUCGACUCCAUGAAGCCGGAAUCGCUAGUAAUCGUGGAUCAGCAUGCCACGGUCGAAUACGUUCCGGGCCUU
rnacentral:rRNA from 1 species